rnacentral:miRNA from 1 species
GAUUUUAUUAGGUUGGUGCAAAGGUAAUUGUGGUUUUUGCCUUUUUUUUAAAAUGGCAAAAACUGCAAUUACUUUUGCACCAACCUAAAUAAGUU